CCGUGCCGGGCGGCUUACCAUGCAGUCGACGAUGAUGCCCAGCUUGCUGGGCGGAUUAGUGGCGAACGGGUGAGUAACACGUGAGUAACCUGCCCUUGACUUCGGGAUAACUCCGGGAAACCGGGGCUAAUACCGGAUAUGAGCCGCCUUCGCAUGGGGGUGGUUGGAAAGUUUUUCGGUCAGGGAUGGGCUCGCGGCCUAUCAGCUUGUUGGUGGGGUGAUGGCCUACCAAGGCGACGACGGGUAGCCGGCCUGAGAGGGCGACCGGCCACACUGGGACUGAGACACGGCCCAGACUCCUACGGGAGGCAGCAGUGGGGAAUAUUGCACAAUGGGCGAAAGCCUGAUGCAGCGACGCCGCGUGAGGGAUGAAGGCCUUCGGGUUGUAAACCUCUUUCAGCAGGGAAGAAGCGCAAGUGACGGUACCUGCAGAAGAAGCGCCGGCUAACUACGUGCCAGCAGCCGCGGUAAUACGUAGGGCGCAAGCGUUGUCCGGAAUUAUUGGGCGUAAAGAGCUCGUAGGCGGUUUGUCGCGUCUGGUGUGAAAACUCGAGGCUCAACCUCGAGCUUGCAUCGGGUACGGGCAGACUAGAGUGCGGUAGGGGAGACUGGAAUUCCUGGUGUAGCGGUGGAAUGCGCAGAUAUCAGGAGGAACACCGAUGGCGAAGGCAGGUCUCUGGGCCGCAACUGACGCUGAGGAGCGAAAGCAUGGGGAGCGAACAGGAUUAGAUACCCUGGUAGUCCAUGCCGUAAACGUUGGGCACUAGGUGUGGGGCUCAUUCCACGAGUUCCGUGCCGCAGCAAACGCAUUAAGUGCCCCGCCUGGGGAGUACGGCCGCAAGGCUAAAACUCAAAGGAAUUGACGGGGGCCCGCACAAGCGGCGGAGCAUGCGGAUUAAUUCGAUGCAACGCGAAGAACCUUACCAAGGCUUGACAUGCACGAGAAGCCACCAGAGAUGGUGGUCUCUUUGGACACUCGUGCACAGGUGGUGCAUGGCUUGUCGUCAGCUCGUGUCGUGAGAUGUUGGGUUAAGUCCCGCAACGAGCGCAACCCUCGUCCCAUGUUGCCAGCGGGUUAUGCCGGGGACUCAUGGGAGACUGCCCGGGGUCAACUCG
rnacentral:rRNA from 1 species